rnacentral:rRNA from 1 species
UACGUAGGGCGCAAGCGUUAUCCGGAAUUAUUGGGCGUAAAGAGCUCGUAGGCGGUUGUCGCGUCUGCUGUGAAAGACCGGGGCUCAACUCCGGUUCUGCAGUGGGUACGGGCAGACUAGAGUGCAGUAGGGGAGACUGGAAUUCCUGGUGUAGCGGUGAAAUGCGCAGAUAUCAGGAGGAACACCGAUGGCGAAGGCAGGUCUCUGGGCUGUAACUGACGCUGAGGAGCGAAAGCAUGGGGAGCGAACAGG